rnacentral:rRNA from 1 species
GUAGGUGGCAAGCGUUGUUCGGAAUUAUUGGGCGUAAAGCGCGCGCAGGCGGUUCUUUAAGUCUGAUGUGAAAGCCCACGGCUCAACCGUGGAGGGUCAUUGGAAACUGGAGAACUUGAGUACAGAAGAGGAAAGCGGAAUUCCACGUGUAGCGGUGAAAUGCGUAGAGAUGUGGAGGAACACCAGUGGCGAAGGCGGCUUUCUGGUCUGUAACUGACGCUGAGGCGCGAAAGCGUGGGGAGCAAACAGGGAUUAGAUACCCUGGUAGUCCACGCCGUAAACGAUGAGUGCUAAGUGUUAGGGGGUUUCCGCCCCCUUAGUGCUGCAGCUAACGCAUUAAGCACUCCGCCUGGGGAGUACGGCCGCAAGGCUG